rnacentral:rRNA from 1 species
AACGGCCGCGGUAUCCUAACCGUGCGAAGGUAGCGUAAUCACUUGUUCUUUAAAUGAGGACUAGUAUGAAUGGCACCACGAGGGUUAAACUGUCUCCUUUUUUUAAUCAGUGAAACUAAUCUCCCCGUGAAGAAGCGGGGAUUCUUUUAUAAGACGAGAAGACCCUAUGGAGCUUUAAACAAGUUAACACCUGCUACUAAUCUUCACUUUCCUGAACCACCACAUUAAGUAUAGCACCUCUGAUUAACAGUUUUCGAUUGGGGUGAUCAUGGAGCAAAAAUCAACCUCCACGACGAAAAGGAACACCUCCUUGAGCCAAAAGCUACAACUUUAAGCACUAAAAAACUAACGCACUUUGACCCAAUUCUUUGAGCAACGAACCAAGUUACCCUAGGGAUAACAGCGCAAUCCACUUUAAGAGCUCCUAUCGACAAGUGGGUUUACGACCUCGAUGUUGGAUCAGGGUAUCCCAGUGGUG